rfam:Citrus clementina cultivar Clemenules unplaced genomic scaffold scaffold_1, whole genome shotgun sequence.
AGGCAGCCUCUUUGCGAUGGCCAUGGCAAAGAAAGGUGUUAAACUGCUCGUAAAUUGAUCUGCUUUUGCUCUUCAGACUUGCUGAGAUUCGUCCUUGAAGCUGGUCUAGUAGGCCUUAGCACAUU